CCUACGGGAGACUGCAGUGAGGAAUAUUGGUCAAUGGCCGCAGGGCUGAACCAGCCAAGUCGCGUGAGGGAUGACGGUCCUAUGGAUUGUAAACCUCUUUUGUCAGGGAGCAAAGGGCGCCACGUGUGGCGCUUUGCGAGUACCUGAAGAAAAAGCAUCGGCUAACUCCGUGCCAGCAGCCGCGGUAAUACGGAGGAUGCGAGCGUUAUCCGGAUUUAUUGGGUUUAAAGGGUGCGCAGGCGGAAUGUCAAGUCAGCGGUAAAAUUUCGGGGCUCAACCCCGUCGUGCCGUUGAAACUGGCGUUCUUGAGUGAGCGAGAAGUAUGCGGAAUGCGGGGUGUAGCGGGGAAAUGCAUAGAUAUCACGCAGAAGUCCGAUUGCGAAGGCAGCAUACCGGCGCUCAACUGACGCUCAUGCACGAAAGCGUGGGUAUCGAACAGGAUUAGAUACCCGUGUAGUC
rnacentral:rRNA from 1 species